rnacentral:rRNA from 1 species
CAAUAGCGUAUAUUUAAGUUGUUGCAGUUAAAAAGCUCGUAGUCGGAUUUUGGCUGAGAACGAUCGGUCCGCCGUUAGGUGUGCACUGAUUGGUCUCAGCUUCCUGGUGAGGAGGUGUGCUUCACGGCCACUUAGUCACCGUGGUUACUUUGAAAAAAUUAGAGUGUUCAAAGCGGGCUUACGCUUGAAUAUAUUAGCAUGGAAUAACACCAUAGGACUCCUGUCCUAUUUCGUUGGUCUCGGGACGGGAGUAAUGAUUAAGAGGAACAGUUGGGGGCAUUCGUAUUUCAUUGUCAGAGGCGAAAUUCUUGGAUUUAUGAAAGACGAACUUCCGCGAAAGCAUUUGCCAAGGAUGUUUUCAUUGA